GAUGAACGCUGGCGGCGUGCCUAACACAUGCAAGUCGAACGAACAGACGAGGAUCUUGCGCCGCUGGGGUUAGCAGCGGACGGGAGAGUACCAUGGGGAGGACAUAACUAUAAGACAGGGGUAACUACGGCAAACCGGACCUAAUAGCGAAUGAUAUAUUGCACCGCAUGGGGCACUCGUGUAAGACGGUUUUGCUGUCACUUAUAGAUUGAUCCGCGCCGCAUUAGCUAGUUGGUAAGGUAACGGCUUACCAAGGCAACGGUGCGUAGCCGACCUGAGAGCGUGAUCGGGGAGAUUGGAAGUGAGACAGGGUCCACACUCCUACGGGGAGACGCAGCAGAGACUCUUCCGAGAUGGGGGAGAGGUGGAUGGAGCAACGCGGGGGAAGUGAUGAAGGUCUUCGGACGGGAAAAUGCUGUUGUUAGGGAGGAAGAAAUGUGUUUGUAACGAGGCAGGUAUUGACGGUACCUAGUGAAAAAGCCACGGCUAACUACGUG
rnacentral:rRNA from 1 species